rnacentral:snRNA from 1 species
GUGCUCACUUCAGCAGCACAUAUACUUAAAAAUUGGCAUGAUACAGAGAAGAUUAACAUGGCCCUGUGCAAAGGAUGACACGAAAAAUGAAAUGUAUGCAU